rnacentral:rRNA from 1 species
AUUGAACGCUGGCGGCAAGCCUAACACAUGCAAGUCGAACGAGUGGCGGACGGGUGAGUAAUGUCUGGGAAACUGCCUGAUGGAGGGGGAUAACUACUGGAACCGGUAGCUAAUACCGCAUACCAUCGGAUGUGCCCAAGUGGGAUGAGCUAGUAGGUGGGGUAAAGGCUCACCUGGGCGACGAUCCCUCGCUGGUCGGAGAGGAUGACCAGCCACACUGGGACUGAGACACGGUCCAGACUCCUACGGGAGGCAGCAGGGGGGAAUAUUGCACAAUGGGCGCAAGCCUGAUGCAGCCAUGCCGCGUGUAUGAAGAAGGCCUUCGGGUUGUAAAGUACUUUCAGCGGGGAGGCGUUACCCGCAGAAGAAGCACCGGCUAACUCCGUGCCAGCAGCCGCGGUAAUUC